GAGUGUCAGUGUGCUUCAUGAGCAGAAUCUUCCUUCAGGAGGACAGAGGCCCUCACAACUACCUGGAACUGCUGCUGAGGUGACCAAAGUUGAUCAUGAAGACAGCUGGAGUUGUUCUGCUGUUGCUGUGGUUCGGACAGGUUGUGAUUGCAGCACACAAUCCAGAUGUCAAAACCACAAACACAGGAAAAGACGCUGCCCAACAGUCAGACAUCCACACUGUGUUGAGAGAGAUGAGUAUCCUCAUCGCUCAGCAGGGAGAGCAGCUCAAAUGCACAAAGACAAAACUGGAGGAUGUGGAGAAGAAGGCAGAAGCCAUGGAGAACAGACUGAGAGCCAGUGAGAGUCGUGUCAACCAACUAAAAACUGAAAAUAAGGCUCAAUCAGCGGCUGUAUCAGACCUGAAACGGGAGAGAGCUCGGAGCAGGGUGUCUUUUUCAGCCGCACUGCUUGGGGAGGGUGGAAGAGCUAUAUCAGGGGUUGAGACAUUGGUGUUUCAACUUACGAUCACUAACAUUGGCAACGGCUACAAUCACAAAGAUGGUAAGACAAAAAUUAGG